GCAGGAGUGGCGGAACUGGCAGACGCGCAGGACUUAGGAUCCUGUACCGAAAGGUGUAGGGGUUCGACUCCCCUCUCCUGCA
rnacentral:tRNA from 1 species